CCUACGGGGGGCUGCAGUGGGGAAUAUUGGACAAUGGGGGCAACCCUGAUCCAGCCAUGCCGCGUGUGUGAAGAAGGCCCUCGGGUUGUAAAGCACUUUCAGUGAGGAAGAACGCCUGGUGGUUAAUACCCAUCAGGAAAGACAUCACUCACAGAAGAAGCACCGGCUAACUCCGUGCCAGCAGCCGCGGUAAUACGGAGGGUGCGAGCGUUAAUCGGAAUUACUGGGCGUAAAGCGCGCGUAGGUGGCUUGAUAAGCCGGUUGUGAAAGCCCCGGGCUCAACCUGGGAACGGCAUCCGGAACUGUCAAGCUAGAGUGCAGGAGAGGAAGGUAGAAUUCCCGGUGUAGCGGUGAAAUGCGUAGAGAUCGGGAGGAAUACCAGUGGCGAAGGCGGCCUUCUGGACUGACACUGACACUGAGGUGCGAAAGCGUGGGUAGCAAACAAGAUUAGAUACCCGAGUAGUC
rnacentral:rRNA from 1 species